GCUUACGGCCACACCGCCUGGUUCACGCCCGAUCUCGUUUGAUCUCGGAAGCUAAGAUAGGUUGGUCUUGGUUAGUACUUGAAUGGGAGACCGCCUGGGCUUGUAAAUCACCCAAAAAAUAAUAAGCU
rnacentral:rRNA from 14 species